AAGUCUGUUGCUGUAAUAUCAGAAAGCAGCAUUGCUGUCCAAAUGGGGACACUGCUGGAACUCUACAAAAUUCCACAGGUGAGUGUGUAGUGAAAAAGUGGGAUAAAGUACAUCACCUUAGGUGCCUCACUUAGAACCAAAAAUUUAAGGGACAGAGACCUUAUACAUUUGACACAUUAUGUGAUCUGAAGAGAAGACAUGCAGAGAUUUUGUGGAUUAGCCACAUUUGUUCUGAAGCAGAGGUGUGGGUGAGUGAAAAGGAGAAAUGUUUUUUUCAACCUGUGAGUCUAAUGAUUCAUGAACUAGUAAGCUUUUAUGUACUGGGACAUGAUAAAAAUGAAAUAUUCUAAAAUCUGACACUUCCAUUAUCUGCUUAAUCUUUUCAGGAAUAAUGUUUUACACUAUGACAAUAAACUUACACAGAUUUCUUGCCUUUUCCCUUAGCUGAUUCUUGGGCCUUUUGAACCUCUUCUGAGUGACAGUGGUCAGUUUCCAUCCCUCUAUCAGAUGGCACCCAAAGACACUUCUCUGGCCUGUGGCAUGGCCUCCUUGAUGCUCCACUUUGGGUGGACCUGGGUGGGUUUGACCAUCUCAGACCUCCCAAAAGUUGCACCCAUUUCUGAAGAACCUCCAAUUUACCAAUCCAGCUGGUGACCUAGUGAAUUUGAAUCAGAAGAGAAAUUUGGAAGCUGAAUACGACAUUCUCAACUUUUGGAAUUUUCCAUAUGGUUUUGGACGUAAGGUUAAAGUAGGACGGUUUUCCCCAUAUGUUUCGCAGAGUGAACAGUUGUCUCUCUCUGAGAAUUUGAUAGAGUGGGCCACAGGAAUUACAGAGAUUCCACGCUCAGUAUGCAGUAUGAGUUGCAGCCCUGGAUUCAGGAAAACCCCUCUGGAGGGAAAGCCUGCCUGUUGUUUUGAUUGCACACCUUGUUCUGAGAAUGAGAUUUCCAAUC